ensembl:lncRNA
GAUCUCGCUGAGUGCCAAGGCUGCAGCAGUUUGUCCAGAUGACUGUAGCAAGCGACUGGUGGUUUUGCACGCCCAGUGCAAGCCCUGCUCCCAGCCCAGCUUGGAGCAGCCCACAUCCUGCACCAGGACUUGAGCCAGCCGACUGCGCCCUGGCUGCAUGACGAGCUCAGGAACGGCUCCGUCCACCCAGAGGCAGCAGGAGACAGUCUCCAGCUAGUUUUGCAUGACACCUGAAGCUCCCACAGAUAUUGCUGCACUGGGGCACCCAACUUCGCUGACAAGUGAGGAGAAGCUACUCAAACUGUGAUGGAGAAAAAAAUAAAAUGUAGGAGCUGAGGCCCAAGGUCUCUCCUGUUGCAGAAUACGGGAUGUCCAGAAGGAUUAAGCAUUUCCCUCCUGCUGCUAUGAAUGACCAGAAUGAAGAGAACCUUCACUCUCCUGUGAUGCAGUUAGCAAAAAGAAGCACACACCUGCUUGGCCUCGCUGGACCUAACCUUGCACUGAAUUCCACCAGAAGCAGUUUUCUAUUUCCUAAAGUUUUGCUUUCCUGAAAAUCAGUGCCAGAACAGGUAAACUGAUUUGAACUAUCGACUUUACACAGGCUACUAUAAAGAGGCCAAGGCAGAAGAGACCCGAAGCAUCACACCCAGCAUGUGGUAGGAAAGGUUCAGGUCCCAGCUGCCUUCCUUGGGUGCCUGUCCCCUCACCCGCUGACGCCUUUUCCCCCAACAGCUCUAGCAUUGCCCUCUCGCCGGUUGGAAGAUGAGUCCCUAAGGAGCCUAAGCUAAAGACACCCGUACCAAAGCAGAGGGCCUGAUCCUGGCAGCUGUGCCAGACCGGCACCAAUUCAUCGCUCUUCUCCGCCUGGCAGUCCAAGGGCAGAGCAAGAGGGCAGGGGGUUGCAGAUGCAUUUGGGACUCCUUGAUAUUCUCUCAUAAACACCCAGAGUCCUGCCUCCUCCUCAUGCUUGGGUGCAUCCCACCCCUGUUGUACAGAAAACUGACUUUUGCAGAAAUCCAAGCUGCUGGGGUGGGAUAAAGAGCAACAUUACAUCUGCAGCUGCCCAGGAAGAGGCUUUCCCUGAUGUGGUCACUACUGGGGACCUCUGAUGGGGAGCUGCUCUCUCAUCACUUCCAGUUACAGGAUGCUUCUGCUUGUGUUUCUCCCCCUGACAUAAAUGACUCAAGCCACUCUUUAGCUGACAUGGGCUGUCGUGACCCUGCCAACCCAGUUUAGCUCCAGUUUCUAUGCCCAGGUACCUAGGGAAAGCCUGAAGUAGCACUGAGAGCCUUGGAGAGGUUGCUUUGGAUUUACAUGGGCAUAAAGUGGCACCAAUAUAAGUGUGGAAAACAAAGAGAGAUUUGCAUCAAAAAGGUGCAGUGACAAGCAGCACAUACGUAGGGCAAUACAGUCCCAAGUUUUGAAAGGAAAGGAAACAUAAAGCUAAUGGAAAAGCUUUGUCACUACUGAAUGUGUUUUAUUCCUGAAUCCCCUGUGGAACCAAUCAGUCCCUUACCUUAUAAAAGCAGAUGCAACACAUGUUAGUGUGAA